AUAGCGUAUAUUAAAGUUGUUGCAGUUAAAAAGCUCGUAGUUGAACUUCGAACGUGGCUGGGCGGUCCGCCUCACGGUGUGUACUGUCUGGCUGUGUUCUCUUUCUUGGUGAGCCGGCAUGCCCUUAAUUGGGUGUGUUGGGGAACCAGGACGUUUACCUUGAGAAAAUUAGAGUGUUCAAAGCAGGCCUACGCCCGGAUACAUUAGCAUGGCAUAAUAAAAUAGGACGUGCGGUUCUAUUUUGUUGGUUUCUAGAGUCGCCGUAAUGAUUAAUAGGGAUAGUUGGGGGCAUCAGUAUUCAAUCGUCAGAGGUGAAAUUCUUGGAUCGAUUGAAGACUAACUACUG
rnacentral:rRNA from 1 species